rnacentral:rRNA from 1 species
ACGGGUGAGUAACGCGUGGAUGAUCUACCCUUGAGUUCGGGAUAACGGAACGAAAGAUCCGCUAAUACCGUAUAACAAUCCAUUUCAUCGUGGGUUCAAAGCAGGCCUCUUCGUGAAAGCUUGCGCUUGGGGAUGAGUCCGCGUCCCAUUAGCUUGUUGGCGGGGUAACGGCCCACCAAGGCAACGAUGGGUAGCUGGUCUGAGAGGAUGAUCAGCCACACUGGAACUGAAACACGGUCCAGACUCCUACGGGAGGCAGCAGUGGGGAAUAUUGCGCAAUGGGGGAAACCCUGACGCAGCGACGUCGUGUGAGGGAAGAAGGCCUUCGGGUCGUAAACCUCUGUCAGAAGGGAAGAACCGCCGGGGGUCGAAUAGCCCCUCGGUCUGACGGUACCUUCAGAGGAAGCGCCGGCUAACUCCGUGCCAGCAGCCGCGGUAAUACGGAGGGCGCAAGCGUUAAUCGGAAUUACUGGGCGUAAAGCGCGCGUAGGCUGUUUGAUAAGUCAGACGUGAAAUCCCUCGGCUCAACCGGGGAACUGCGUUUGAUACUGUCGAACUCGAGUCCUGGAGAGGGUGGCGGAAUUCCU